AUUGAACGCUGGCGGCAUGAUUUACACAUGCAAGUCGAACGGUAACAGGCCGCAAGGUGCUGGCGAGUGGCGAACGGGUGAGUAAUGCAUCGGAACGUGCCCAGUCGUGGGGGAUAACUACUCGAAAGAGUGGCUAAUACCGCAUACGAUCUAUGGAUGAAAGCGGGGGACCGUAAGGCCUCGCGCGAUUGGAGCGGCCGAUGUCAGAUUAGGUAGUUGGUGGGGUAAAGGCUCACCAAGCCAACGAUCUGUAGCUGGUCUGAGAGGACGACCAGCCACACUGGGACUGAGACACGGCCCAGACUCCUACGGGAGGCAGCAGUGGGGAAUUUUGGACAAUGGGCGCAAGCCUGAUCCAGCAAUGCCGCGUGCAGGAAGAAGGCCUUCGGGUUGUAAACUGCUUUUGUACGGAACGAAACGGCUCUGGUUAAUACCCGGGGCUAAUGACGGUACCGGAAGAAUAAGCACCGGCUAACUACGUG
rnacentral:rRNA from 1 species